rnacentral:rRNA from 1 species
GUCCAUGCCGUAAACGUUGGGCACUAGGUGUGGGACGGAGUCAACCCGUUCCGUGCCGUAGCUAACGCAUUAAGUGCCCCGCCUGGGGAGUACGGCCGCAAGGCUAAAACUCAAAGGAAUUGACGGGGGCCCGCACAAGCGGCGGAGCAUGUUGCUUAAUUCGAGGCAACGCGAAGAACCUUACCUGGGUUUGACAUGUACCGAAAAGCCGUAGAGAUACGGUGUCCUUCGGGCGGUACACAGGUGGUGCAUGGCUGUCGU